UACCGUGAGGGAAAGGUGAAAAGCACCCCGGAAGGGGAGUGAAAUAGAACCUGAAACCGUGUGCUUACAAGUAGUCAGAGCCCGUUAAUGGGUGAUGGCGUGCCUUUUGUAGAAUGAACCGGCGAGUUACGAUUUGAUGCAAGGUUAAGCAGUAAAUGUGGAGCCGUAGCGAAAGCGAGUCUGAAUAGGGCGUUUAGUAUUUGGUCGUAGACCCGAAACCAGGUGAUCUACCCUUGGUCAGGUUGAAGUUCAGGUAACACUGAAUGGAGGACCGAACCGACUUACGUUGAAAAGUGAGCGGAUGAACUGAGGGUAGCGGAGAAAUUCCAAUCGAACCUGGAGAUAGCUGGUUCUCUCCGAAAUAGCUUUAGGGCUAGCCUCAAGUGAUGAUUAUUGGAGGU
rnacentral:rRNA from 1 species